GGAAUUGUGGCUCAGUGGUAGAGCUCUUACCUGACAUGUAUGAGGCCCUGGGUUCAAUCCCCAGCACCG
rfam:Ictidomys tridecemlineatus contig001696, whole genome shotgun sequence.